UACGUAGGUGGCAAGCGUUGUCCGGAUUUACUGGGCGUAAAGAGCGCGCAGGCGGUCGAUUAAGUCGAGUGUGAAAGCCCCCGGCUCAACUGGGGAGGGUCACUUGAUACUGGUCGACUCGAAGGCAGGAGAGGGAAGUGGAAUUCCCGGUGUAGUGGUGAAAUGCGUAGAUAUCGGGAGGAACACCGGUGGCGAAGGCGGGUCUCUGGGCAUUUCCUGACGCUGAGGCGCGAAAGCGUGGGGAGCAAACGGG
rnacentral:rRNA from 1 species